rnacentral:rRNA from 1 species
AAACUUUCAACAACGGAUCUCUUGGUUCUCGCAUCGAUGAAGAACGCAGCGAAAUGCGAUAAGUAGUGUGAAUUGCAGAAUUCAGUGAAUCAUCGAAUCUUUGAACGCACAUUGCGCCUUCCGGACUUGUUCGGGAGGCAUGCCUGUUCGAGCGUCAUU